GCGGAGAGACAGGAAGUGGAGGGACAGGAAGUGGAGAGUCCAGCCGGGGCCGAUCUUGGACAACAUUCUUUUGCCAGCUGUGUGCCCCAUGUGAGGGGAUGAGGAGAUUUUAAGCUUCUACCAGAAAAACUCAAGUCUGGAGAUAAUUUAAUUUUUCCUGGGUCUCUGCCAGCCAUCUACAGAGUUUUGUGAAAUUUUCCACCUACUUCCUUUAUGUGUGGAAACUCAGCCUCCAUUUUAGAAACUCCAUUCCCAACCAUGGUUCAGUACUCCCCCUCCCCUCGCUCCAUGCUUUUGUUGUUAUUGCUAUCCUGGAGGUUUUAUGGAUGAAGAUGUGUGAGAUGAGGGGUUUACCAGGACUGGCUGGAGGUAUGCCCUCUCUUACACACACACACACACACACACUAUUGUGGAGAAGGGAGAAGGCAUUUCUUGCGGGGUGGCUGAACAAAGAAUCAGGUAUACUGGUGUCCUGAUCUGACGCCCAAAAAAAUAACAGCCUUCCACAGAGUUCUGAAACAAUUCCUACUGCUUGGAAUGGCAGCUCCUCGAAUGUGAGCAAGGAAAUGUGUGGCAUCUUGCUACCAUGAGCUGAAGACAAAGCCGACAUGGGAAAAAGUGCAAAACCAGGAGAAUGAGAGAGAAACAGAGCCACACACUGAUGCUGUUGUGAAACGUCCGGAUCAAACUGCACCUGAAGACAAUCCUAUCCCUGUGUUCUUUAUACGAACCAAUACACUCUCUUUCUCAUGUGAUGAUCCAUCUGCCCAAAUGCAGGGAGCAUUAUGGAUAACAGGGAAAACCAGGAGCAAACAUGGAAUGAAUGUAUCAGCUCACCCUCUCUUGUCAGAGACCUCCUCACAAUAGCUGACUGCUUUGGGUGAAUGUUUUGGUAAGCUCUUGGAGCGGAGGAUGUGGGCUUGGGGAGACACU